rnacentral:rRNA from 1 species
CCUACGUGAGGCUGCAGUGAGGAAUAUUGGUCAAUGGGCGCGAGCCUGAACCAGCCAAGUAGCGUGAAGGAUGACUGCCCUACGGGUUGUAAACUUCUUUUAUAAAGGAAUAAAGUGAGGCACGUGUGCCUUUUUGUAUGUACUUUAUGAAUAAGGAUCGGCUAACUCCGUGCCAGCAGCCGCGGUAAUACGGAGGAUCCGAGCGUUAUCCGGUUUUAUUGGGUUUAAAGGGAGCGUAGAUGGGUUGUUAAGUCAGUUGUGAAAGUUUGCGGCUCAAACGUAAAAUUGAAAUUGAUACUGGCAGUCUUGAGUACAGUUGAGGUAGGCGGAAUUUGUGGUGGAGCGGUGAAAUGCUUAGAUAUCACGAAGAACUCCGAUUGCGAAGGCAGCUUACUAAACUGCCACUGACAUUGAUGCUCGAAAGUGUGGGUAUCAAACAGGAUUAGAUACCCGGGUAGUC